UACAGAGGUGGCGAGCGUUGUUCGGAUUUACUGGGCGUAAAGGGCGCGUAGGCGGCAAGGCAAGUCAGCAGUGGAAGUCCCAUUUUCAAGGUGGGGAGGGCUGUUGAAACUGCGUUGCUUGAGUGCAGGAGAGGUUAUCGGAAUUCCCGGUGUAGCGGUGAAAUGCGUAGAUAUCAGGAGGAACACCGGCGGCGAAGGCGGCUUGCUGGACGGCAACUGACGUUGAGGCUCGAAAGCGUGGGGAGCAAACAGGAUUAGAUACCCCGGUAGUCCCUGA
rnacentral:rRNA from 1 species